rnacentral:rRNA from 1 species
UACAGGCUUAACACAUGCAAGUCGAGGGGAAACGAUAGAGAAUGCUUGCUUUUUCUAGGCGUCGACCGGCGCACGGGUGAGUAACGCGUAUCCAACCUGCCCAUCACUUGGGAAUAACCUUGCGAAAGUAAGACUAAUACCCAAUGAUAUCUCAAGAAGACAUCUGAAUGAGAUUAAAGAUUUAUCGGUGAUGGAUGGGGAUGCGUCUGAUUAGCUUGUUGGCGGGGUAACGGCCCACCAAGGCGACGAUCAGUAGGGGUUCUGAGAGGAAGGUCCCCCACAUUGGAACUGAGACACGGUCCAAACUCCUACGGGAGGCAGCAGUGAGGAAUAUUGGUCAAUGGGCGAGAGCCUGAACCAGCCAAGUAGCGUGCAGGAUGACGGCCCUAUGGGUUGUAAACUGCUUUUAUAAGGGAAUAAAGUGAGUCUCGUGAGACUUUUUGCAUGUACCUUAUGAAUAAGGACCGGCUAAUUCCGUGCCAGCAGCCGCGGUAAUACGGAAGGUCCGGGCGUUAUCCGGAUUUAUUGGGUUUAAAGGGAGCGUAGGCCGGAGAUUAAGCGUGUUGUGAAAUGUAGAUGCUCAACAUCUGCACUGCAGCGCGAACUGGUUUCCUUGAGUACGCACAAAGUGGGCGGAAUUCGUGGUGUAGCGGUGAAAUGCUUAGAUAUCACGAAGAACUCCGAUUGCGAAGGCAGCUCACUGGAGCGCAACUGACGCUGAAGCUCGAAAGUGCGGGUAUCGAACAGGAUUAGAUACCCUGGUAGUCCGCACGGUAAACGAUGGAUGCCCGCUGUUGGUCUGAAUAGGUCAGCGGCCAGGCGAAAGCAUUAAGCAUCCCACCU